rnacentral:rRNA from 1 species
AUUAGAGUUUGAUCCUGGCUCAGGACGAACGCUUGCGGCGUGCCUAAGAAAUGCAAGUCGAGCGGUCCCGCAGCAAUGCGGGAUAGCGGCGAACGGUCGCGUAACACGUAAACAACCUGCCCCGAAGACCGGGACAACAUCUCGAAAGGGGUGCUAAUACCGGAUGUGGCCAUCGGAGGACAUCCUCUGGUGAUUAAACCGAGCAAUCGGCUUCGGGAGGGGCUUGCGGCCUAUCAGCUAGUUGGUGGGGUAACGGCCUACCAAGGCGACGACGGGUAGCUGGUCUGAGAGGACGGCCAGCCGGACUGGGACUGAGAUACGGCCCAGACUCCUACGGGGGGCAGCAAUUAGGAAUCUUGCGCAAUGGGCGAAAGCCUGACGCAGCGACGCCGCGUGGAGGAGGAAGUCCCUCGGGAUGUAAACUCCUUUUGCCAGGGAAGAAACAAAUGACGGUACCUGGUGAAUAAGCCCCGGCUAACUACGUGCCAGCAGCCGCGGUAAUACGUAGGGGGCGAGCGUUGUCCGAAGUUACUGGGCGUAAAGCGCGCGUAGGCGGGGAAUUAAGUGAGAGGUGAAAGGCUGGGGCUCAACCUCAUGCAGUGCCUCUCAUACUGAUUUUCUUGAGGGCGGUAGGGAGAAGUGGAAUGGCUGGUGUAGCGGUGAAAUGCGUAGAUAUCAGUCGGAACACCGGUGGCGAAGGCGGCUUCUUGGGCCGUUCCUGACGCUGAGGCGCGAAAGCUGGGGGAGCGAACGGGAUUAGAUACCCCGGUAGUCCCAGCCGUAAACGAUGGAUACUAGGUGUCGGGGGUAUCGACCCCUCCGGUGCCGCAGCUAACGCAUUAAGUAUCCCGCCUGGGGAGUACGGCCGCAAGGUUGAAACUCAAAGGAAUUGACGGGGGCCCGCACAAGCGGUGGAGCAUGUUGUUUAAUACGUCACUAACCGUAGAACCUUACCAGGGCUUGACAUCCGGCGACCGGCGGUGAAAGCCGUUUUUCCUCGCAAGAGGACGCCGAGACAGGUGUUGCAUGGCUGUCGUCAGCUCGUGUCGUGAGAUGUUGGGUUAAGUCCCGCAACGAGCGCAACCCUCACCCCAUGUUGCCAGCGAGUCAUGUCGGGAACUCUUGGGGAACUGCCUGGGUAACCGGGAGGAAGGUGGGGACGACGUCAAGUCAGCAUGGCCCUUACGCCCUGGGCUACAAACAUGCUACAAUGGACGGUAGACAGAGGGAUCCGAGACCGCGAGGUGGAGGCAAUCUCAAAAAUCCGUUCCCAGUUCAGAUCGCAGGCUGCAACUCGCCUGCGUGAAGUUGGAAUCGCUAGUAACCGCAGAUCAGCUAAGCUGCGGUGAAUACGUUCCCGGGCCUUGUACACACCGCCCGUCACGUCACUUGAGUUGUCUGCACCCGAAGUCGGUGGGGUAACCCCCUUCUGAAGGAUGAAGGCGGAAGGCAGAAGGAUGAAUCAAGGCACACGCCGUUCAUUCAUCCUUCAUCCUUUAUCCUUCAUCCUUGGGAUGGGGGAACUAGCCGCCGAAGGUGUGGGGAGCGAGAGGGACGAAGUCGUAACAAGGUAGCCGUAAAU